AACGAACGCUGGCGGCAUGCCUAACACAUGCAAGUCGAACGAGACCUUCGGGUCUAGGGGCGCACGGGUGCGUAACGCGUGGGAACCUGCCCUUAGGUUCGGAAUAACUCCCCGAAAGGGGUGCUAAUACCGGAUAAUGGCUUCGGACCAAAGAUUUAUCGCCUUUGGAUGGGCACGCGUUGGAUUAGCUAGUUGGUAAGGUAAAAGCCUACCAAGGCGACGAUCCAUAGCUGGUCUGAGAGGAUGACCAGCCACACUGGGACUGAGACACGGCCCAGCCUCUUACGGGCCGCAGUCGUGGGGCAUAUUGGAUAAUGGGACAAACCUUGACCAAGCAACGCCGCGUGAGUUACGCAGGCUUUCGGGUUCUAUAGCUCUCUUACCCGGGCUGAUAAUGACAGUACCGGGAGAAUAAGCUCGGGCUAACUCCGUG
rnacentral:rRNA from 1 species